ensembl:snRNA U6 U6 spliceosomal RNA
GUGUUCACUUCAGCAGCACAUAUACUAAAAUUGGAACAAUAUAGAGAAGAUUGCAUGAUCCCUGCGCAAGGAUGACACACAAAUUUGUGCAGCAUUCUUUUUUUUU